rnacentral:rRNA from 1 species
GACGAACGCUGGCGGCGUACUUAACACAUGCAAGUCGAGCGGUAAGGCCCUUUCGGGGGUACACGAGCGGCGAACGGGUGAGUAACACGUGAGCAACCUACCCUCAACUUCGGGAUAAGCCUCGGAAACGGGGUCUAAUACCGGAUAUCACUCAUUGCCUCAUGGUUUUGGGUUGAAAGUUCUGGCGGUUGGGGAUGGGCUCGCGGCCUAUCAGCUUGUUGGUGGGGUAAUGGCCUACCAAGGCGUCGACGGGUAGCCGGCCUGAGAGGGCGACCGGCCACACUGGGACUGAGACACGGCCCAGACUCCUACGGGAGGCAGCAGUGGGGAAUAUUGCGCAAUGGACGGAAGUCUGACGCAGCAACGCCGCGUGAGGGAUGACGGCCUU